ACGUACUAUUGUUUUGUUAACUUUUCAUGAGACUUUCUCAUAGAUUUGUUUUCAUUAAUUCUAGUGAUUGUUGUAAUAUUUGUGUAUAUAUUUCUAAAAUUUAUCACGUUAUAGAUCUUAGGCCUUGUGCAUCUUCCGAGGGAUGCCUUUUCUUUUGAAUGCUUCUCCAUACAAAAAAAAAAAAAAUGUUCUUAGCAGAAGAUCUUUAACCCUCACUUGCCUCUGUAUUUGUUUCUUUUGAUACUUUUAGGCCUUUAUGGUAUGAACUCGCAAUGAAUUAAACUAGAACAACCAUUAUGCAAUUCCUCAGUGUUCCGGAAUCGUCUAUCUCAAAAUACGUUGCUUCAUUCUUUUUACUUUUAAAAAAUAAACCUCAUGUUAUUUAUUAAUCUACACACUUUCUCAGUUUCUCCACCCACACGCAUCAUCUCUCUCUCCCCCCAAACACACAUCAGAUCUUCAGAUCUACUCUAUCUUUGUCUCUCUUCUUUUCUUGUUUCUCUCACCAUCAGAUCUACUCUAUCUUGUUUCUCUCACACAUCAGUUUGGGCAUAAAUAUCAUUAUGGUGCUCCAAUUAGCACUUGACUUCUUCUGGAUUUAGAAAAUCCAGCGUUUCUCCCUCUUGCUCUACUGGGUUUUCCUUUGAAAAAAAGGAAGGAUUCUUACUGGCAAUGAUUAUGGGAGACCCCCCCUUCUCCUUCAGAUGGUUGUUUCAACAGUAGCAUAUGCAAAUGCAAAUUACGAUCAUGUGGUUGGGUGGAGAACAUCAUCAAUCCGCUGUCAACAUGAACUUCCAAAGAGGAGAUGAUUGGAGGUCUCACUCAAGUACCUUGGCAUCGUGUAACGCAUUCACAAAAGUAGACAACGAUAUAUUGCGCACAGUACCAUUCAGGCAAGCUCUUGAAACUGGGCAGUUUUAUUGUUUCAUGUACUGCUUUUAAUUUAUUUUUAACACACUUAAACUUUUACUUAUAUCUUUUGGUAUCAUGAUACGGAGACCCUUUAUUGAGAAUGUGCGUCCCUCUUUUUAAAAAUGUUACACCUCUUGAACUGCAUUAUGCACAAUUUAUUAAGGGCUAAAUAUUUAUUUUUGAUGCCAUUGUGUAAGUUAUUUGAAGAGUAAUUGCUAAAUAUGAAAUGUAUGCAUUUAUAAUUAUUCAAAUGCCCAUGAAUAAUUUUUGGUUGGAUGCUAUCUUAAACGCACAGACCUUAGGCACUGAUCAUGUAGGUUUUUUUGGCUAGACAUGGAAGUUCAGCCGCCGGAAAAUAUAUGUUGGAAUGCAUCAGGUUCACUUGUUUUUUCUUAUUGAUUUUCAAUUAUUUUUUCAGCGUGUUGGAUGACUAAUCUGCGCGUUUGAGCAAUCUUCAUGGAGCAUUGUCUACCUAGAAAUAAACCACACAAACUUUAAGAGUUCCCAGUUGGUCAAACAACUAUUUUUUAGGGAUUGGUCUUUCAAAAUGAAUUUUUUCAGCUUCUUUAUUAAUUGAAACAUAUUGGUUAAUUUUAUAAUUUAUGAUUACCAUUGAAUAAUUGUCACCAUUUUUCCUUUUUGCUUCAAUUUAUUUUGGUUUGGCAAGUGACCUUGAUAAUUAAAAUUUUAUAACAAUUAAGUCACUAACUCUGAUGCAGCCGCACGGUGAGCACUAAAGAAUACCGUGUGCUCACUGUUGAUAAUAGCAUACGCCACAAUUUGGAAGGGCUUUUUCUAUGGAGACAUUUUUUCUUUGGGAAUGUCUCCAAAGAAACAAAGUCACUAACUCUGUGAUUAACCAAAAUUUGGGCUUUGUUUUUUUGAAAAAAGUUAUAUCAAGUUGCAUUUUAUUUUUUCAGACUUCAAUGUUUUUAAUUGUGCCUGUUGGAGCAUGAAAUAUCCUUUAUUUGAUUGGGGCUCUUUGUAGUGGAGACAGAUUAGUUAUUCACUUGGUCACUGCUGUUCACUUUUUAUUGUUUUGUAAACUUGACGGAAUGAAACAACUUGUUAAAUAUGAAACUUGGAAUUCAAUUACAUAUGAUUGCUCUUAGCUUAUUGAUCUGCCCCUUGACUCGAGAUGAGGUAAUGUGAAGUGGAUUCUUACCCAUAAGACUAACUUCAUGACUUGGGCAUUUGAGAAUUAAUAAUUAAAAUGGGAUGCCAUUAAUUUUUGAAGUAUGAACAAAAUGACAUCUUUUGCCUUCUAUGUUGACCAUGAGUACUCUUAUUUAUUAGUUCUUUCACCAGUCUUAUAUUUUUGUUUGUUAUCUGUACAAUUUAUUUUUAAUCCAUAUCUUAGUCUGUCCUCAUGCUUAGACUCUAAAGCGACAUACCCUGGCGCUUGGCACCCGUGCCAUAUAGAUAGAUAACAUAACAGGAUGGUUUGUGCAAAGUCAGCAGAGUCCAUAUUUGUAUUCAGUUUUGUUAAUAACAUGUAGAAUGAUGGUGUCUUCGAAUCAGUAUAAAAAAUUUAAUUUUGCUAUUCCAUUUUUAUUAGUUAUGUUUCUCUUCUUGUCCAUCUUUCCUUGGGUAUUGUCUCUGAGUAUGGUGAUAAUCAAAUGACAGGCUUAUGUAACAUGUCUGUUAAGAAAUUUUAUAUGUGCUGAAAGGAAGCGUUGAUGGCCAAAUUGGACAUAUAUAGAAUUAAGUAGAAGAAAUUUGGCAUCACUGUUGGCCUUCAACUGACUAAAAGAAUGGAUAGGGUCUUUGCCCAUCUCGAAUGGCUAUGGACUGGAUUAUUUGAUUUCCUUGAGAAAUUAUGUUCUGUUGCAUGCUUGAAUAUGAAUCUAAGCCGUGGAUAAUUUCCAUCAAAUAUUUUUUCUCAAAUGUGUUAGUUUACUUGUCAUGAUCUUUUGAUUAAACAAAAACAAAUCAGCACCAGUUAAAUCCGUAUCACCUUAACUAAAUUUGCUCUCACUCUCACUGCCUGCUUUAAUGGUUUAAGUGCAAAUUUGUUGAUUAUAUUAUACAGUAUUACCUUGGGUUGUUCAAUUCUAAUGUUUUUUAUCCUGCCUCUAUUCUCGACUAUUUAUUAUUAAUUAUGUGACUGUACAGGGGACCAAAAUUCGUUCCUUGUUGGGCACAGCUUAGUUGUUUUUGCAUCCUCGUUACAUGCAUCGUGGUGCUACUAGGUAGUUAUUUCUAUUUCUAUUUCGCUCACAUUCUAAUCAGGAUUCAAAAUUCCUGGGUUUGCCGCAGCGCAAGUCAAGAAAGCCGUGGAGGUGGGUGACUUUUGCUUACAUCCUUUAAACCUAAGACGGGUUGUUUCUAUUAUUCAUGACUAGCACUUUUGAGGAUGCCAAAAAUGGCGUGGGUCGGAUACGGUCCACACGAUAGCAAUAGGCCGGGUAAUUGAUCCUGGUCCGAACCAAGCUCUUGCAAGACAGGUCCAAGAUUGAAGAACUGUGCCAAAGGUCCACUGAAAGUAAUUAGGCCCAUAACUAGAGAGGCCCGGGGUGUCGGCCCAACACAAGAAGUUAGGUAGCUUCUAGAAAUUGUAACAGUCUAUAAAUAGACGGAAAUUAGACGGAAAUUAGAGGGGAAAAGGGUGGGGAAAAUCUUGAAGUGUAAGGAUAUUCUGUCCAAAUAGAGAGAAAUUUCUUGCAUCUUCAAUGGCGCCGUCCGUGGGAAUUUAUCAAGAUUGAAUCGAUUAAGAUGGAUUCAAUCAAGACUAGUUCGUGAAGAAAAAGCUUGAUCUCUGAAAGUUGAAUCUAGAUCGGGAUUUAUCUUGCAGAGUUUCGAUUCUGGCUGGUGGUGAGAGAUUCACGUUGGAUUUACGCAAUUGUGAUUUGUUUAGUGAGGCUAGAUUUGACAAGUUUAUGGUAGGAGAGAUUCAGAUCCGGCAAAAGGAGCUGGUUCGAGUUUAGAUCUAGUACGUUCGCAUUAGCAAAGCUCAGAUCUGAUCCGGAACUUGUAGUUAAUGACUUUGCUCCGAUCAGGAAUGAUGAUAGGAGGUGAGAGCUCAAAUCCAUUGGAGAAUGGCCAGCAGUCGAAGCUUGAUGAAUUGAUGAGCAUCGUCGAGAAGCUUCGGUUAUUCCAUGACCACCUCCAGGAGGGGAGAGAGUUUUGCAGUUCAAUGUUGCUCAUCAAAAUGAUCAGGAAGGAGACGAUCACAUGGAUCUUCAUCGUGAGGAGAUCGUGCCAGGCGAUUUACCGCCAAAUGUCCUAUCCACUUGGAUCCGCAUCGCGAGCGGAUCAUGCGAGAAGAAGCUGCAGCGUUUGAUCCAAAUCAAGGAAGAUUGAGCCGUGAGGAAGCCAUGGAGUUUGGUCACUUUAAUAUUGCUGUUUUUGGAUACCCCACCUGAUGCUUGGUAUAAGUUAAAUGUUUCUGGGUUAUUUAAGGAAAAUCUUGGAGUGGAUUAUGGGAUAGAAGAAAUUCUUCAAAGAUCGCAAUCAAUGAAAAUAGUAUUGGAGAUCGACCAUAAACAAACUUCCAUGGUGCUAAGUGUACGUGCGCAUGUACCAACGGAAAACAUUGGACUUUAUUAUAAAAUUUUUGUUAUGUUGUCGAUCCUUGACGAAAGAGUACUUUUUCAAUAUCCUCAAGGAAACAUUCUAGCUAAAAGAAUUGUGUAUAUAGCUUUCCAUCUGACCAUGGGCCAGAGUUUUCCCAUAGACGAAAGAGGUUAUGAUACACAAGUCUGCUGUGAUCAAUUGGAAAUGUCGCGAUAUGAGAUUGUUCCCAGAAUUGAAGAAUUGUACGAUAAUGAUUUUGAAGGAUCUUCUGAUGAUGGUUUUUAAAUCGGGUACUUUGCUUUCUCAUUUUCUACAUAAAAACAGACUACAAAAGAAAAGAAGUUUUUAUUUUUAUUUUUUUAACUGUGUUUUUUAGAUAAAAAUGUAUUUUAAAUUCAUGGAAGGAGAGAGUAAUUAGCCUGAUGUUGAUAUAGAAAGAAGUUUGGAGGAGGGGGGUUGAAUAUUUCUGGACACAUCUUGACAAUCACACUUCUGCUCCUAUUUCUAUGCAAGCCUAUUUUUACUUA